UACAAAGAAUGAUACCAGUUGUCGUGUCAUUAAUCUCUGUAAGUUCUUUGUAGCUUUUCUCAUUAUUACUGGUAUAAAGCAUAUAAUUUUACGUGUUUUAUAAUUGUAUUGUUAGAAAACCAAUAACAUUCCAUGUAAAUUACAUUACCGCUAUGUGAAACAGACACUUACAGAUGAAGAGAAAAUUGUGGGCGUGAUUUCCCGCCAUGAUUGACAGAAAAGCUUGAUAUUAUAAUAUUUAUGUUAUUAGUACAUAUUCCCGACACUUAUUAUCGAGAAAAAAUAAUGUACGCUUUAGAUGUAACUGAGGAUAAGUACUGUGCGUGUUCUACUGUGAUAAUUCUAAUGAAGGCGAAUCAAUUUUACUGUUCUUAUUCUAGGGAUGUAUAGUGAUAUAACUUCUUGUGUUUUAAUCAAAUUGGAAAAACUAAAAAUCUUUAAUUAUUUGUUGGAUGUGCAUUUGCCGUAAAUAUGAAAUCUGUGUUGCUACAGUUACUAUUUCUUGCUUUACUUUUACACGGAUCAUUCCAAUAUAAUACCUACCCGAGACGGUAUGUCCGAGAUCAUAGUGCUCAUCUGGAGGCCUGUCCUUUACAUUGCCGGUGCAUGGACCUAAAUCAAAGGUCUGCUAGAGGGCUAUUUGAUUCCUGGAAUGUGGAUCAGUCGUGGCAAAAUACGGAACAGGACGAGACUGGAAGAUCCGUGGUAUGUCAGGGACUAAGAGAGCUUCCAGCACGGAUACCCUCAGGUG
rnacentral:lncRNA from 1 species